CGGACGGCUGAGUAACGCGUGGGUGACCUGCCCCGAAGUGGGGAAUAACUGCCCGAAAGGGUGGCUAAUACCGCAUGUGGUGGUGCCUUCAUUGGCACCAGUAAAGCCGCAAGGCGCUUCGGGAGGGGCCUGCGUCCGAUUAGCUCGUUGGUGGGGUAACGGCUCACCAAGGCGACGAUCGGUAGGUGGUCUGAGAGGACGAUCACCCAGACUGGGACUGAGACACGGCCCAG
rnacentral:rRNA from 1 species